rnacentral:lncRNA from 1 species
CCCGGGUUGGAGAUUCAUAUGGAUCCGGUAGGGAAUAGGUGGCUUAGGGUGAGUGGGUUGAGUCUGUCGCCUGUCGCCUGUGAAGCCUUUAUGUCUCUAUUGGUGAUGUUGUUUUCUCUCAGGUUUUUGUUUGUAAGUUUACAAUUUGGUCUAGGGUGUUGUUGUGUUGGUCUUUUGUUGUGUUUGUGUGUCUCUUUAUUUAGAGUUU